rnacentral:rRNA from 1 species
AGAGUUUGAUCAUGGCUCAGAUUGAACGCUGGCGGCAUGCCUUACACAUGCAAGUCGAACGGCAGCGCGGGGCAACCUGGCGGCGAGUGGCGAACGGGUGAGUAAUAUAUCGGAACAUACCCUAGAGUGGGGGAUAACGUAGCGAAAGUUACGCUAAUACCGCAUACGCACUAAGGUGGAAAGUGGGGGAUCUUCGGACCUCAUGCUCAUGGAGUGGCCGAUAUCUGAUUAGCUAGUUGGCGGGGUAAAGGCCCACCAAGGCGAUGAUCAAUAGGGGACCUGAGAGGGUGAUCCCCCACACUGGCACUGAGAUACGGGCCAGACUCCUACGGGAGGCAGCAGUAGGGAAUAUUGGACAAUGGGUGUAAGCCUGAUCCAGCCAUGCCGCGUGCAGGAAGAAGGCCUUCUGGGUUGUAAACUGCUUUUGCCGGGGAUAAAAGAUCCAUGCGUGGAGAAUUGAAGGUACCCGGUGAAUAAGCCACGGCUAACUACGUG